rnacentral:rRNA from 1 species
GACAGAGGUGCCGAGCGUUAGGCGGAAUCACUGGGCUUAAAGCGUGUGUAGGCGGACCGUUAAGUGCCUUGUGAAAUCCCACGGCUCAACCGUGGAACGGCUGGGCAGACUGGCGGUCUUGAGCCACCUAAGGGCGGACGGAACAAGCGGUGGAGCGGUGAAAUGCGUAGAGAUGUGGAGGAACACCGAUGGCGAAGGCAGCCCCCUGGGCUGAGAUUGACGCUCGGGCACGAAAGCGUGGGGAGCAAACAGG